rnacentral:rRNA from 1 species
UACGGAGGAGGCAAGCGUUAUCCGGAAUUAUUGGGCGUAAAGCGUCCGCAGGUGGCUAUUCAAGUCUGCGGUCAAAGACUGGGGCUUAACCCUGGAAAGGCCGUGGAAACUGAAGAGCUAGAGUGCAGUAGGGGUAGAGGGAAUUCCCGGUGUAGCGGUGAAAUGCGUAGAGCUCGGGAAGAACAUCGGUGGCGAAGGCGGCCUGCUGGGCAGUAGCUGACACUGAGGCGCGACAGCGUGGGGAGCAAACAGG